AGAGACUUAGGAUAAUCACAAACCGGGGGCCUUCAAAGCCCCAAACAGGGACUAUAAUCCCCUAGUCUCUG
rnacentral:tRNA from 1 species